AGAGUUUGAUCAUGGCUCAGGACGAACGCUGGCGGCGUGCCUAAUACAUGCAAGUAGAACGCUGAAGAGAGGAGCUUGCUCUUCUUGGAUGAGUUGCGAACGGGUGAGUAACGCGUAGGUAACCUGCCUUGUAGCGGGGGAUAACUAUUGGAAACGAUAGCUAAUACCGCAUAACAAUGGAUGACACAUGUCAUUUAUUUGAAAGGGGCAAUUGCUCCACUACAAGAUGGACCUGCGUUGUAUUAGCUAGUAGGUGAGGUAAUGGCUCACCUAGGCGACGAUACGUAGCCGACCUGAGAGGGUGAUCGGCCACACUGGGACUGAGACACGGCCCAGACUCCUACGGGAGGCAGCAGUAGGGAAUCUUCGGCAAUGGGGGCAACCCUGACCGAGCAACGCCGCGUGAGUGAAGAAGGUUUUCGGAUCGUAAAGCUCUGUUGUAAGUCAAGAACGGGUGUGAGAGUGGAAAGUUCACACUGUGACGGUAGCUUACAGAAAGGGACGGCUAACUACGUGCCAGCAGCCGCGGUAAUACGUAGGUCCCGAGCGUUGUCCGGAUUUAUUGGGCGUAAAGCGAGCGCAGGCGGUUUGAUAAGUCUGAAGUUAAAGGCUGUGGCUCAACCAUAGUUCGCUUUGGAAACUGUCAAACUUGAGUGCAGAAGGGGAGAGUGGAAUUCCAUGUGUAGCGGUGAAAUGCGUAGAUAUAUGGAGGAACACCGGUGGCGAAAGCGGCUCUCUGGUCUGUAACUGACGCUGAGGCUCGAAAGCGUGGGGAGCGAACAGGAUUAGAUACCCUGGUAGUCCACGCCGUAAACGAUGAGUGCUAGGUGUUGGAUCCUUUCCGGGAUUCAGUGCCGCAGCUAACGCAUUAAGCACUCCGCCUGGGGAGUACGACCGCAAGGUUGAAACUCAAAGGAAUUGACGGGGGCCCGCACAAGCGGUGGAGCAUGUGGUUUAAUUCGAAGCAACGCGAAGAACCUUACCAGGUCUUGACAUCCCGAUGCUAUUUCUAGAGAUAGAAAGUUACUUCGGUACAUCGGUGACAGGUGGUGCAUGGUUGUCGUCAGCUCGUGUCGUGAGAUGUUGGGUUAAGUCCCGCAACGAGCGCAACCCCUAUUGUUAGUUGCCAUCAUUCAGUUGGGCACUCUAGCGAGACUGCCGGUAAUAAACCGGAGGAAGGUGGGGAUGACGUCAAAUCAUCAUGCCCCUUAUGACCUGGGCUACACACGUGCUACAAUGGUUGGUACAACGAGUCGCGAGUCGGUGACGGCGAGCUAAUCUCUUAAAGCCAAUCUCAGUUCGGAUUGUAGGCUGCAACUCGCCUACAUGAAGUCGGAAUCGCUAGUAAUCGCGGAUCAGCACGCCGCGGUGAAUACGUUCCCGGGCCUUGUACACACCGCCCGUCACACCACGAGAGUUUGUAACACCCGAAGUCGGUGAGAUAACCUUUUGGAGCCAGCCGCCUAAGGUGGGACAGAUGAUUGGGGUGAAGUCGUAACAAGGUA
rnacentral:rRNA from 1 species